GGCCUUGAACUCAGAAAUCCGCCUGCCUCUGCCUCCCGAGUGCUGGGAUUAAAGGCGUGCACCACUACGCCCGGCUCUUGUGGGAUGUCUUACUGAUUCCUUACUGCAUGCUCUGAUAGAGUUCCACACACAAUCCAGAUAACACUCAACAUGUUCUCUACAGUAGAUAUUCUUCUUGUCUCUAACUUCACAGAGUCAGCCUCAGGGAGGACAUAUUAUCUGGCUGUGAACAUUCACACACUACAACCCCUCCCAUUUAGCUUCUCUGCCUCUGCAUGUCCCUCUUUCUGAUAUGGGGACAUUCCUGCAACUCUGGACCUCCUUGCCUUGGCUCCAUCUGGCCUCCUGGGGUUAGGAAGUAGCUGCUCCAGCCUGUAAACCCAGACAAUUACAGAGAGUGGUGAAUCUCAAAAAAGUAAAAACAAGGUUGUGUGACCAGAACGUAUGCCUACGGAUGAGAGCUUCUUCCGGACGAGAUACUGAAGACCCUAGCACACGCAGGCGACCUUGUCAGAGCGCUGCUGUGAUACACUCCCUGGAUUCCGCAGCCCUCGGCUGACACAGGUGAAAUUGAGAAAGAGGUAGGAAGGGUUCCAAGGAGGGGUGACAGCGUCGACCUGCUGGGCUUUCUCAUCCUCUAACCACCUCUGGCUAACAUCCUCCUGCCAGGGGAACAGUUCCACCCCCUGGGCUGAGCCGGUGCCAAACAACAGGUGGUAGUCAAGGUAAACAGGGCAAUAAAGUUCAUCAAGGUUAAUUUAUGGGAAAUAAAUGUGACUGUACCCCAUUUUCAUCCAUUAACAUUCUAAACACCUUGUUCAAAAUGCCCAGGAGUAUUUCUGGCUGCCAGGAAAGUUAUCAU